rnacentral:rRNA from 1 species
UACGAGGGGGGCGAGCGUUGUUCGGAAUUAUUGGGCGUAAAGGGUGUGUAGGCGGUUGUUUAAGUUUGGGGUGAAAUCUCCCGGCUCAACUGGGAGGGUGCGCCGAAUACUGAAUGACUAGAGUGCGGGAGAGGAAAGUGGAAUUCCUGGUGUAGCGGUGAAAUGCGUAGAUAUCAGGAGGAACACCGGUGGUGUAGACGGCUUUCUGGACCGUAACUGACGCUGAGACACGAAAGCGUGGGUAGCAAACAGG